rnacentral:rRNA from 1 species
UACGGAGGAUCCAAGCGUUAUCCGGAAUCAUUGGGUUUAAAGGGUCCGUAGGCGGUUUUGUAAGUCAGUUGUGAAAGCCCCUCGCUCAACGGUGGAACGGCCAUUGAUACUGCAAGACUUGAAUUAUUGGGAAGUAACUAGAAUAUGUAGUGUAGCGGUGAAAUGCUUAGAGAUUACAUGGAAUACCAAUUGCGAAGGCAGGUUACUACCAAUAUAUUGACGCUGAUGGACGAAAGCGUGGGGAGCGAACAGG